rnacentral:rRNA from 1 species
GACGAACGUUGGCGGCGUGCUUAAUACAUGCAAGUCAACUGAAGCAGUGGUAGCAAUAUCGCUGUGGAGGUGGCGCACGGGUGAGUAACACGUAGGUAAUCUGCCUUCAGGUCUGGCAUAACUCCGGGAAACCGGGGCUAAUAGCAGAUGAUGCAGCGGCUCUACAUCGAGACAGUUGUUAAAGCUAUGGCGCCUGAAGAUGAGCCUGCGUCUGAUUAGCUAGUUGGCGGGGUAACGGCCCACCAAGGCAACGAUCAGUAGCUGGUCUGAGAGGAUGAUCAGCCACACUGGAACUGAGACACGGUCCAGACUCCGACGGGAGGCAGCAGUAAGGAAUAUUGCUCAAUGGGAGAAAUACUGAAGCAGCAACGCCGCGUGAGGGACGAAGGGCUUUUGCUUGUAAACCUCUGUAGUGAGAGAAAAAAAUCCCAAUCUUUGGGACAUGAUGGUAUCUCAAAAGUAAGCCCCGGCUAACUACGUG